GCAGAGAAGCAGGGCACAGGCUGGUUACUCCUCCAGCACAGCAGCCUAUUACCCCUUCCCCCCCCCCUGCCCCCCUGCUCCCCUCAAUGGGCCCCUCUGCUGAAUACCCCACAUCAGAUACCCCAACUGCAUCCAGGCACAGGAACUACACUUAGAGGAAAUCACACACUCAUACUCCCAUGAGUGCACACUCAUUGUAUACCCAUCAGCUUCAAACACCAUCCUGCCCUCUUUCACACUCCACUACCACCUACACCCCCUUCCUGGAAAAAGUUUGGGGU